GCCAGGGUCAGCCAUCACAACCACAAGAUGUGCAAGUCAUGGCUUGUGAUGAACUUCUCAUCAGCAAGCAAUCUCAGUGUCAUCACUUGGAUAAACAGCAUCCCGUUUGGAUGAAGAAACUACAGAUGUCGAUCGAGUUUUUCCCCUUUCUUUAAAUUUCCUCGUGUAUGCCCAUGUGAGUGUGGGUGUAUUCACGAGGACCCACUUUUUGCUAUAUCCCACCUGGUGGAACUCUUCUCAGAGGAUGAAGCACAUGUUGAUGCCUGGCUGUAUUUCCCAGGCUUCAAGAUAACCGGUUGUUUUUCCAUUGGCAAUUCAUCCAUCACGUGCAGCCCUGAUCUGGUAAUACUCUCCCACUAAACGAUGUUGGGAGUUUCCGUCUCGUCCUUGAAUUGUGCCUUUCUCUUCGUGCCGAGGGCGAAGAUUUUUCUACCGAUGGGCGAGAACGGGCCAGAAUCAUCACUGAAAUAAAACUAGAGAAAUCGCUUUCACGAAUCUCUUUAGGGCUCACGAUGACCAUCAACACUAGACAAAGAAUGUAGACUGUAGAGGCGAUCGACAAGAGCAUCAUUGUUUACGCCGUGGGUAACUUGACUAUAGCUGUUGACACCAUUUCGUGUUUGAAUCAGAAAAAGUUAACAUUUGAAAAAAAAUAAUAAUGACAAGACUUUAUGAUUCCUUAUAGAGAUUUAUAUUUAUUCUAUGGGCUCGAAGUGUUUCCCUUUAUAUUACCCACAUGCACAACAAAUAAUCUCUCCUCUUCAAAAUGUGACUAUUGUUAAACUUUCUCCGAUGAGGGCGGUUCGACAAAGAUUCGAUAACGGACUUUCUUCGUUCGCAAAUAGCUGAAAGUGUUGUCAAACUCGAAGACAUCUGCUCGGUGACAAAUAGAACGCAUGAUUAGACUAUAGGGCCGUGAUAAUAAAGCGUGUGAUGGAUCACUCACAUUUGCCAGGCUCGUCACAGGCCAUCUGACCUUCUUCCAUCGCCAAAUGGCUGUCAACUCGACACGGUAAAACCAAAUCUUCUUCACUCCCUUUGGCAUUCUUGGUGUAAACUCGGAAUCGGAUGUCACCUCCUUCCGUCAUGAAUUCCCAUCUGUUUAAUUCACACAUUUAAGUUGGUUAUUAUAUUAUUAUUAUUGAUUACAUUGACGACUAACUUUAGAAUAGAAGAAGCGACAUCAACUUUGUAUUUCAUUUUCUUUCGACCACCAGCGCCGGCGAUGAUCGUCAUGGUUUCCAUGUAGUCCUUAGCAACGGGUCCGUUAUUGCUCAGGUAAUACGAAGCAGGUACUUCACCUCCCAUAUUUAACUGUCCUCCACAUCAACAAUUGUUAGCGUUACUUUAAUAAUUCUUAAUGAAGAUUGUAAUAUUACCUUGCUGGGGCAUUUGGGGUUGCCAUCGGGAUCGGUUAAGGUCCCGCCGUAAUACGAUGGCACGUAUUCAGCGUCAAUUUCCUCCAGUAAAGCGGAUGCCCACUCAUUUUUGUCGUUACCGAAUAUCUUGAUUUUCGGGAUGUCGGCUGGUGAUAGAAUCGGUUUGACUAAGGCGAAAAGCAGAUGGAAUACUUUGGGUGCUGUAAAAUUAAGAAGUAAUUAAGUGCGAUGAAGAUGGACACAUCAUUAUUAAUGCUGUACCAUUGACGACAAAUAUUCGACGGAAAGAAUUCGGGUAAUUGAUUAGGUAUGUUCUGAUCAUUUCCAAAAGAGCCUCUACCACUUUAUGUUGUAAAAAUCGUUGUGCAAAUCGUUGUGAAUUGUGUAAUGCUUGCAAUGACACUUGAAAUGUAUCUGUAUACCUUG